rnacentral:rRNA from 1 species
UCGGGAAUUUUGGGCAAUGGGCGCAAGCCUGACCCAGCAACGCCGCGUGAAGGAUGAAGUUUUUCGGAAUGUAAACUUCACAAGAAUGGGACGAAGAGAGAAGGGCAAAUACCCCUUUGAUUUGACGGUACCAUUUGUAAGCUCCGGCUAACUCCGUGCCAGCAGCCGCGGUAAUACGGGGGGAGCAAGCGUUGUUCGGAUUUACUGGGCGUAAAGGGCGCGUAGGCGGCGCAACAAGUCGCUUGUGAAAUCUCCGGGCUUAACUCGGAGCGGCCAAGUGAUACUGUCGUGCUAGAGUGCGGAAGGGGCAACUGGAAUUCUCGGUGUAGCGGUGAAAUGCGUAGAUAUCGAGAGGAACACCUGCGGCGAAGGCGGGUUGCUGGGCCGACACUGACGCUGAGGCGCGAAAGCCAGGGGAGCGAACGGGAUUAGAUACCCCGGUAGUCCUGGCCUUAAACGAUGGAUGCUUGGUGUCCGAGGUUUUAUAGUCCUCGGGUGCCGGCGCUAACGCAUUAAGCAUCCCGCCUGGGGA